CAGUAGCCGCGGUAAUACGUAGGGUGCAAGCGUUAAUCGGAAUUACUGGGCGUAAAGCGUGCGUAGGCGGUUUGUUAAGUCUGCUGUGAAAUCCCCGGGCUCAACCUGGGAAUGGCAGUGGAUACUGGCAAGCUAGAGUGUGUCAGAGGAUGGUGGAAUUCCCGGUGUAGCGGUGAAAUGCGUAGAGAUCGGGAGGAACAUCAGUGGCGAAGGCGGCCAUCUGGGACAACACUGACGCUGAGGCACGAAAGCGUGGGGAGCAAACAGGAUUAGAUACCCCAGUAGUCCCUGUCUCUUAUAC
rnacentral:rRNA from 1 species